UCACAUGUGUUGCCAAUGUACGUGCUAACAAGUCACAUGUUGUGGGUCGCCCAUCCAUUUUUUGGGGAAAAAUUUAAAGAAGAUUCAGUAAUUGCACUGCAUCCAAUCUGAUGGCGUUGUGCCUUUCUGGCUAUUAGCCAUAGCUAAGCAGUAGCCGCCAUUCAUAUCAAAAUCCCUUUCACUAAUAAAGGAUGGUCCAAAAGACAACCGCUUGGAGCAAAUCUGGUCGCCAAUAGCCAUCAGAGUUCACCAGCCGCUGCAGUACCGCUCAAAGCAACAAUUAUUCAUGCGC
rnacentral:lncRNA from 1 species